GGACUUAUUUUGUUUACUAUAUAGUAUCUUGUCCAAUAGCUAUGCCAAACACUUGCUGGCUCCUUAGCAAUCUUCGAGCAAUAUUUUUGAAGGAGACUGUUUCUGGAGACAUUAGAGCCUGAAUAUAUGUAUGUAUAUAUCUAUAUAUAAUAGCAAACCUGUUUUUUUUAACCGCUGAUGUCAUCUUUUUAUUAUAGGAAAAAAAAUCAAAAUCUAACGAUGAGAAUGGUUCCGAGAAUAUAAUCCAACGGAUACAAUUUUGUUUAGUAUGAAGGGUAUGACGUCAUGACUCACAUUAGCAAUCGUCGCCUUCAUCGUAUCUCCUCAAAGGCAUCCCCUAAAUAAAUUGUAGAAAUUAUUUCUCUUUAAGAGUUGCAUCCUUUCACACACAGCUUUUCCCGUCAUUAUCUUCACUCAAGAGUUGUAUAUUUUCAGAAGUUUAUAUAUUGAAGAGAUUGUAUAGGUUUUUGGAAGUUUACAUAUUACGAAGCCAAUAUUACGGAGAACGAUCGGUGGUUUAUCGGUGCAAGAUCUCUUCUUGUGGUUUCCGGUUAGAGGGCUCCAUGUGGACAUACCUUGCUCUGGUGUUAUAUAUUUCAAUGUCCGAGUUGUUCACGACCGGUAUUUCAUGUCUUUGUUCGAGACUCAAAGAGAUUGUGUCGCUGGUUAGAACGAGGUUGAGUUUUGUUUGGAUAACAAGAUUCAGUAAUCUAUGUUGCAAUUCUAUGAAGUAGAUCAAAGUGUUGGGAGAAACAUUUGUGUAGCCAAAAGGGUUGGCUAAUGGGUUUACAGUAUACAAGUUAGAAACUUUUAGCUGCUCAUGGAUUUUUUAAGACACAAACAGACACACAUACACCUUCCAUUUGGAGCAGAUGCUCCUUUCUUCCCCCAAAUUGCUAUGAUCUCACUCUGUUUGAAGUGAAAAUGAGAGAGAGUCCUCUGCGCAAGUUUAGAUGGGAAGAACAAGUGUGGGAGGGUUUUGUUUGAAAUGUCCAGAUUCAUCACAGGUGACUGAAUGUUUUUGUGAAAUUUUGUUUUUAUGUUUUUUACUCAUGCAUCUUUACUCUCUUGUAUCAUAAUACAUAAUCUAUGAAUGUGAACACUCUUGUGUAAUUGACCAUUCAAGAACAAUGGUUCCUUUGAAACGUUGUAACCAGACCUAUAUUAUUGGGACAUCCAUAAAGAGGAAA